GAUGAACGCUAGCGGCAGGCUUAACACAUGCAAGUCGAGGGGUAUAGUUCUUCGGAGCUAGAGACCGGCGCACGGGUGCGUAACGCGUAUGCAAUCUACCUUUUGCAGAGGGAUAGCCCAGAGAAAUUUGGAUUAAUACCUCAUAGUAUGUGAAAACGGCAUCAUUUUCACAUUAAAGUCACAACGGCAAAAGAUGAGCAUGCGUCCCAUUAGCUUGUUGGUAAGGUAACGGCUUACCAAGGCAACGAUUGGUAGAGGUCCUGAGAGGGAGAUCACCCACACUGGUACUGAGACACGGACCAGACUCCUACGGGAGGCAGCAGUGAGGAAUAUUGGACAAUGGGCGCAAGCCUGAUCCAGCCAUGCCGCGUGCAGGAUGACGGUCCUAUGGAUUGUAAACUGCUUUUGUACAGGAAGAAACACUGGUUCGUGAACCAGCUUGACGGUACUGUAAGAAUAAGGAUCGGCUAACUCCGUGCCAGCCGCCGCAGUAAUAC
rnacentral:rRNA from 1 species